UACGAAGGGGGCUAGCGUUGCUCGGAUCACUAGGCGUAAAGGGUGCGUAGGCGGGUCUUUAAGUCAGGGGUGAAAUCCUGGAGCUCAACUCCAGAACUGCCUUUGAUACUGAGGAUCUUGAGUUCGGGAGAGGUGAGUGGAACUGCGAGUGUAGAGGUGAAAUUCGUAGAUAUUCGCAAGAACACCAGUGGCGAAGGCGGCUCACUGGCCCGAUACUGACGCUGAGGCACGAAAGCGUGGGGAGCAAACAGGG
rnacentral:rRNA from 1 species